rnacentral:rRNA from 1 species
CCCUUAGAUGUUCUGGGCCGCACGCGCGCUACACUGACGAAUGCAACGAGCUUAUAACCUUGGCCGAAAGGUCUGGGUAAUCUCCAAAUUUCGUCGUGAUGGGGAUAGAUUAUUGCAAUUAUUCAUCUUCAACGAGGAAUUCCUAGUAAACGCAAGUCAUCAGCUUGCAUUGAUUACGUCCCUGCCCUUUGUACACACCGCCCGUCGCACCUACCGAUUGAAUGGUCCGGUGAAAUCUUCGGAUCUGAGAGAUGUCUGAUUAAUUUCGGACGCCUUUUGGAAAAGUUGCUUAAACCUUACCAUUUAGAGGAAGGUGAAGUCGUAACA